rnacentral:rRNA from 1 species
AUUGAACGCUGGCGGCAUGCUUUACACAUGCAAGUCGAACGGUAACAGGGAGCUUGCUCCGCUGACGAGUGGCGAACGGGUGAGUAAUGCGUCGGAACGUGCCGAGUAGUGGGGGAUAACGCAUCGAAAGGUGUGCUAAUACCGCAUACGAACUGAGGUUGAAAGUGGGGGACCUUCGGGCCUCACGCUAUUCGAGCGGCCGACGUCUGAUUAGCUAGUUGGUGAGGUAAAGGCUCACCAAGGCGACGAUCAGUAGCGGGUAUGAGAGGAUGAUCCGCCACACUGGGACGGAGACACGGACCAGACUCCUACGGGAGGCAGCAGUGGGGAAUUUUGGACAAUGGGCGCAAGCCUGAUCCAGCCAUGCCGCGUGUCUGAAGAAGGCCUUCGGGUUGUAAAGGACUUUUGUCCGGGAGCAAAUGCUGGUGGCUAACAUCCACCGGAGCUGAGAGUACCGGAAGAAUAAGCACCGGCUAACUACGUGCCAGCCGCCGCAGUAAGAC